rnacentral:rRNA from 1 species
AGGCAGCAGUGGGGAAUAUUGCGCAAUGGGGGCAACCCUGACGCAGCCAUGCCGCGUGUGUGAAGAAGGCCUUAGGGUUGUAAAGCACUUUCAAUUGGGAAGAAAAGCUUGUCGUUAAUAGCGGCAAGCCCUGACAUUACCUUUAGAAGAAACCCCGGCUAACUCCGUGCCAGCAGCCGCGGUAAUACGGAGGGGGUUAGCGUUGUUCGGAAUUACUGGGCGUAAAGCGUACGUAGGCGGAUUGGAAAGUAGGGGGUGAAAUCCCAGGGCUCAACCCUGGAACUGCCUCCUAAACUAUCAGUCUAGAGUUCGAGAGAGGUGAGUGGAAUUCCAAGUGUAGAGGUGAAAUUCGUAGAUAUUUGGAGGAACACCAGUGGCGAAGGCGGCUCACUGGCUCGAUACUGACGCUGAGGUACGAAAGUGUGGGGAGCAAACAGGAUUAGAUACCCUGGUAGUCCACACCGUAAACGAUGAAUGCCAGACGUCGGGGGGCUUGCCCUUCGGUGUCACACCUAACGGAUUAAGCAUUCCGCCUGGGGAGUACGGUCGCAAGAUUAAAACUCAAAGGAAUUGACGG